GGCCUAUUAGCAAGGUUGGUUAGAGCGUCGUGCUAAUAACGCGAAGGUCGCAGGUUCGAGACCUGCAUGGGCCA
rnacentral:tRNA from 1 species